AUUGAACGCUGGCGGAAUGCUUUACACAUGCAAGUCGAACGGUAGAGGGGGCAACCCCUCGAGAGUGGCGAACGGGUGAGUAAUAUAUCGGAACGUGCCCAGUCGUGGGGGAUAACGUAGCGAAAGUUACGCUAAUACCGCAUACGAUCUAAGGAUGAAAGCGGGGGAUCGCAAGACCUCGCGCGAUUGGAGCGGCCGAUAUCAGAUUAGGUAGUUGGUGGGGUAAAGGCUCACCAAGCCAACGAUCUGUAGCUGGUCUGAGAGGACGACCAGCCACACUGGAACUGAGACACGGUCCAGACUCCUACGGGAGGCAGCAGUGGGGAAUUUUGGACAAUGGACGCAAGUCUGAUCCAGCCAUUCCGCGUGCAGGAUGAAGGCCCUCGGGUUGUAAACUGCUUUUGUACGGAACGAAAAGGCUCUGGUUAAUACCUGGGGCUCAUGACGGUACCGUAAGAAUAAGCACCGGCUAACUACGUGCCAGCCGCCGCGGUAA
rnacentral:rRNA from 1 species